AUACGGAGGAUCCGAGCGUUAUCCGGAUUUAUUGGGUUUAAAGGGUGCGCAGGCGGCCAUUUAAGUCAGCGGUUAAAUCGUGGGGCUCAACCCCAUUCUGCCGUUGAUACUGGGUGGCUUGAUUGCGGUCGAGGUUGGCGGAAUCCGUUGUGUAGCGGUGAAAUGCAUAGAUAUGACGAAGAACACCGAUUGCGUAGGCAGCUGACCAGACCGCAAAUGACGCUCAUGCACGAAAGUGCGGGGAUCGAACAGGAUUAGAUACCCUGGUAGUCCGCACAGUAAACGAUGAAUACUUGUUUUCGGCGAUAUAAUGUCGGAGGCAAAGCGAAAGCGAUAAGUAUUCCACCUGGGGAGUACGCCGGCAACGGUGAAACUCAAAUGAAUUGACGGGG
rnacentral:rRNA from 1 species